AACGAACGCUGGCGGCAUGCCUAACACAUGCAAGUCGAACGAGACCUUCGGGUCUAGUUGCGCACGGGUGCGUAACGCGUGGGAACCUGCCCUUAUGUUCGGAAUAACUCCCCGAAAGGGGUGCUAAUACCGGAUAAUGUCUUCGGACCAAAGAUUUAUCGCCUUUGGAUGGGCCCGCGUUGGUUUAGCUAGUUGGUAGGGUAAAAGCCUACCAAGGCGACGCUACAUAGCUGGUCUGAGAGGAUGAUCAGCCACACUGGGACUGAGACACGGCCCAGACUCCUACGGGAGGCAGCAGUGGGGAAUAUUGGACAAUGGGCGAAAGCCUGAUCCAGCAAGGCCGCGUGAGUGAUGAAGGCCUUAGGGUUGUAAAGCUCUUUUACCCGGGAUGAUAAUGACAGUACCGGGAGAAUAAGCUCCGGCUAACUCCGUG
rnacentral:rRNA from 1 species